UACGUAGGGAGCAAGCGUUGUCCGGAAUUAUUGGGCGUAAAGCGCGCGUAGGUGGCCUCAUAAGUCCGCUGUGAAAGUCAAAGGCUCAACCUUUGAAAGCCGGUGGAUACUGUGGGGCUAGAGUACGGAAGAGGCGAGUGGAAUUCCUGGUGUAGCGGUGGAAUGCGCAGAUAUCAGGAGGAACACCAAUAGCGAAGGCAGCUCGCUGGGACGUUACUGACACUGAGGCGCGAAAGCGUGGGGAGCGAACAGG
rnacentral:rRNA from 1 species